AACGAACGCUGGCGGCAUGCCUAACACAUGCAAGUCGAACGAGACCUUCGGGUCUAGUGGCGCACGGGUGCGUAACGCGUGGGAACCUGCCCUUAGGUUCGGAAUAACUCCCCGAAAGGGGUGCUAAUACCGGAUAAUGUCUUCGGACCAAAGAUUUAUCGCCUUUGGAUGGGCCCGCGUUGGAUUAGCUCGUUGGUAGGGUAAAAGCCUACCAAGGCGACGAUCCAUAGCUGGUCUGAGAGGAUGAUCAGCCACACUGGGACUGAGACACGGCCCAGACUCCUACGGGAGGCAGCAGUGGGGAAUAUUGGACAAUGGGCGAAAGACUGAUCCAGCAAUGCCGCGUGAGUGAUGAAGGCCUUAGGGUUGUAAAGCUCUUUUACCCGGGAUGAUAAUGACAGUACCGGGAGAAUAAGCGCCGGCUAACUCCGUG
rnacentral:rRNA from 1 species